CCCUUCGGGGUGUGACUGCGUACCUUUUGUAUAAUGGGUCAGCGACUUAUAUUCUGUAGCAAGGUUAACCGUAUAGGGGAGCCGGAGGGAAACCGAGUCUUAAUUGGGCGUUAAGUUGCAGGGUAUAGACCCGAAACCCGGUGAUCUAGCCAUGGGCAGGUUGAAGGUUGGGUAACACUAACUGGAGGACCGAACCGACUAAUGUUGAAAAAUUAGCGGAUGACCUGUGGCUGGGGGUGAAAGGCCAAUCAAACCGGGAGAUAGCUGGUUCUCCCCGAAAGCUAUUUAGGUAGCGCCUCGUGAAUUCAUCUCCGGGGGUAGAGCACUGUUUCGGCUAGGGGGCCAUCCCGGCUUACCAACCCGAUGCAAACUGCGAAUACCGGAGAAUGUUAUCACGGGAGACACACGGCGGGUGCUAACGUCCGUCGUGAAGAGGGAAACAACCCAGACCGCCAGCUAAGGUCCCAAAGUCAUGGUUAAGUGGGAAACGAUGUGGGAAGGCCCAGACAGCCAGGAUGUUGGCUUAGAAGCAGCCAUCAUUUAAAGAAAGCGUAAUAGCUCACUGGUCGAGUCGGCCUGCGCGGAAGAUGUAACGGGGCUAAACCAUGCACCGAAGCUGCGGCAGCGAACGUAUCACCCAAGACAACUUUACGGAGUUGACGAUUGACGGAGCGAAGCGACGUCAAAGCGUUCAUUAAAGUCGAGUUGGCUUAGGGAUACGUUCGUUGGGUAGGGGAGCGUUCUGUAAGCCUGUGAAGGUGUGUCGUGAGGCAUGCUGGAGGUAUCAGAAGUGCGAAUGCUGACAUAAGUAACGAUAAAGCGGGUGAAAAGCCCGCUCGCCGGAAGACCAAGGGUUCCUGUCCAACGUUAAUCGGGGCAGGGUGAGUCGACCCCUAAGGCGAGGCCGAAAGGCGUAGUCGAUGGGAAACGGGUUAAUAUUCCCGUACUUGGUGUUACUGCGAAGGGGGGACGGAGAAGGCUAUGUUGGCCGGGCGACGGUUGUCCCGGUUUAAGCGUGUAGGUGUGUGUUCCAGGUAAAUCCGGUUCACUUUAACACUGAGGCGUGACGACGAGGCACUACGGUGCUGAAGCAACAAAUGCCCUGCUUCCAGGAAAA
rnacentral:rRNA from 3 species